rnacentral:lncRNA from 1 species
GGAUUUUCUUUUAUUUACCAAAGAACAAAAUACAAGGAAAGAUCAGAAUAGUGAAGAAAAUCAUUGCAGCAGAGAUGAUGGAAACAUUGGCUGGAUUGAAAAGAUGCUAAAGGAAUUUCAGAAUAACCAAAUUGCGCUCAAGAAUCAUACAUUUAUUUCAAUGUAGGGCCAGUGCAGCAUGUGGGGAAGCAAGGAGAGGAAGUUAGAGGCUCAGAGGACCAGCAAGUAGGAGAUCAGAGUUUUCCAAUGAAGAUUUUACUCUGAGCUGGAAAUGAGUUGCCCUUUGGGUUCCAGUACAAUCUGUGCCAUUUAUCUGCCAGUCUCUCAAAGGUAAACUAGAACAUCUCCCUGCAGGUAGUCACCCUGACAGUGAAAUGGGCAAUUUCUAUCCUUGUCUCAUUUCGUCUUCACAGCCAAGUUGUGAGGUAGGCAUCUGUAUAGCUCAGGGACACCUAAGUAAAGUGGUUUGGCCAAAGUAAGAGUUUUAUUUCCCUCAUGUGACACAAAGUCCAGACAAGGCUGGUACAGCUGCUUGAGGAGUUAAUUAUCAGGAACUCAAGAACCUGCUCCACUACCAUUCCUGAGCAUGUGCCUUCCAACUUCAUUGUCACAAGAUGGCUGCCCCUCCUUCAAGAAUAGCAUUUAUGUCCCAGGCAAGAAGAAAGGGAAGGGCAGAGAGUAAAAGGCAUGUGCCAGCUGAGUCUGGCCCUAUUUAUAAGGAAAGCAAUAGCUCUUCUUGAAGCCACCCCAGCAGGCUUCUGGCCACCUCUCAUUAGUAGGAACUAGCAAUAUGGUCACCCCUGGGUGAAGGGAGCCUGGGCAGGGGAGCACUUAAUUUGGGACAUUGUCUUUCCAAAUAAGACUAGGCUUCCAUUGGUAAGAAUGGAGAGGUUGUGGAAGUAGACGAGGAGCAGUGUCUGCCUCACUACUAUUAUUCCUGUUUUACUGAUGAGGAAACAGCUUUGGAGAAGCUACAAGAUCUACUCAAGGCCAUGCACCCGGGCAGUGAAAGAGCCAGACCUUGCCUCCAGGUCCUCCAUCUGUGCAGAUGCCUGUGUGAGGUGGUACAAUGAGCAGGAGCACAGAAGAACCAGCAGAAAAGCUGACUCCCUCCAGGCCUUGGGUCCAAGAUCCCAGUCACUCUGAAGAAUGAUGAUGUCACGCCAUGGUCAAUAACAGCAAGGGAAGCAGCUUUUUCAGUGCUGGUCCCAAUGCCUUAGCCUCAAGCCUCUUGAGCAUCAGAGAAUCUGUAAUGAACAGCACAGAACAAAAUACAGGAUA